GUCCGGCUACUAUACUUGUAACAUACCAGAUUUUAAUAUAAAAGUAAAAAUAAAUAAAAAUAGUGUGAGAUACUAUUUUUAUUGGAUUUAGAGAAGUAAAGUAUAAGUCGGAAGCUGUAAGGAAAUGAAUUCUCGAAAUCCGAGAGUUGGACUCCGCUCAGAAUCGACUAAUUGUCGAGUGGGUAUGCUUCGGAAAAGCCAAAGAAGUCAGAAAUCCAAAAAGUGCAUUGUAAUGGAUCCGCGAGAGCAAAUUGUGCAAAAAUCUGCACUUGGCAGAAAUUGCUCUCGGGAACCGGUCCCUGGCGGGAAAGAUCGG
rnacentral:lncRNA from 1 species